rnacentral:rRNA from 1 species
GAUGAACGCUAGCUACAGGCUUAACACAUGCAAGUCGAGGGGAAACGACAUCGAAAGCUUGCUUUUGAUGGGCGUCGACCGGCGCACGGGUGAGUAACGCGUAUCCAACCUGCCCAUCACUUGGGGAUAACCUUGCGAAAGUAAGACUAAUACCCAAUGAUAUCUCUAGACGACAUCUGAAAGGGAUUAAAGAUUUAUCGGUGAUGGAUGGGGAUGCGUCUGAUUAGCUUGUUGGCGGGGUAACGGCCCACCAAGGCAACGAUCAGUAGGGGUUCUGAGAGGAAGGUCCCCCACAUUGGAACUGAGACACGGUCCAAACUCCUACGGGAGGCAGCAGUGAGGAAUAUUGGUCAAUGGGCGAGAGCCUGAACCAGCCAAGUAGCGUGCAGGAUGACGGCCCUAUGGGUUGUAAACUGCUUUAUAAGGGAAUAAAGUAGGGUCUCGUGAGACUUUUUGCAUGUACCUUAUGAAUAAGGACCGGCUAAUUCCGUG